UACGAAGGGGGCUAGCGUUGUUCGGAAUCACUGGGCGUAAAGGGUGCGCAGGCGGAUUUUUAAGUCAGGGGUGAAAUCCCGAGGCUCAACCUCGGAACUGCCUUUGAUACUGGGGAUCUUGAGUCCGGAAGAGGUGAGUGGAACUGCGAGUGUAGAGGUGAAAUUCGUAGAUAUUCGUAAGAACACCGGUGGCGAAGGCGGCUUACUGGUCCGGUUCUGACGCUGAGGCGCGAAAGCGUGGGGAGCAAACAGG
rnacentral:rRNA from 1 species